ensembl:lncRNA novel transcript
GGAAGAUCCGGAUAGUGCAUCCCGGCCACGGCGCGCCUGCUCUGGGCUCUCCGCGUGCCGCGUCGCUUUCUUUUCUUCCUCUGGAGCAGUUAUGGCGGCGGCGAAGACCCUGAACCCCAAGGCCAAGGUGGCCGGAGCGCAGGCGGCGCUGGCGUUCAACAUUAGCGGGGCGCGGGGUCUGCAGGACGUGCUGAGGACCAACCUGGGGCCCAAAGGGACCAUAAAGAUGUAAGCAAAUUCAACACCCAACAGCUUCCUUAAUAGCAAAGGUAGCAACAGCCCAGGAUGAUAUAACUGGUGAUGGUACGACUUCCAAUGUCCUAAUCAUUGGAGAGCUGCUGAAACAGGCAGAUCUCUACAUUUCUGAAGGCCUUCAUCCCAGAAUAAUCACUGAAGGAUUUGAAGCUGUGAAGGAAAAGCCCUUCAUUUUUUGGAAGAAGUCAAAGUAAGCAGAGAGAUGGACAAGGAAACACUUAAAGAUGUGGCCAGGGCAUCUCUUUGUACUAAAGUUCAUGCUGAACUUGCAGAUGUCUUAACAGAGGCUGUAGUGGGCUCCAUUUUGGCCAUUAAAAGAAAAGAUGAACCUAUUGAUCUCUUCAUGAUUUUGUGAUCAUUGACAAGAAACAUAAAUCUGAAACUGAUACAAGAGAAGUGAAUUCUGGCGUUUUUUACAAGAGUGCAGAAAGAGAAAAACUCAUAAAAGCUGAAAGAAAAUUCAUUGAAGAUAGAGUUAAAACAAAUAAUAGAACUGAAAAGGAAAGUCUGUAGUAAUUCAGAUAAAGGAUUUGUUAUUAAUCAAAAGGGAAUUGACCCCUUUUCCUUAGAUGCUCUUUCAAAGAAGGCAUAGUCGCUCUUCACAGAGCUAAAAGGAGGAAUAUGGAGAGGCUGACUCUUGCUUGUGGUGGGGUGGCCCUGAAUUCUUUUGAGGACCUAAGUCCUGACUGCUUGAGACAUGCAGGACUUGUAUAUGAGUAUACAUUGGGAGAAGUUCACCUUUAUUGAGAAGUGUAACAACCCUCGUUCUGUCACAUUAUUGAUCAAAGGACCAAAUAAGCCCACACUUAGAUCAAAGAUGCAGUAAGGGAUGGCUUGAGGGCUGUCAAAAAUGCUAUUGAUGAUGGCUGUGUGGUUCCGGUGCUGGUGCCGUGGAAGUGGCAAUGGCAGAAGCCCUGAAUAAAUAUAAGCUCAGUGUAAAGGGCAAGGCACAGCUUGGAGUCCAAGCAUUUGCUGAUGUGUUGCUCGUUAUUCCCAAGGUGAGCCCGUGGUAGCAGCAGAAGCAGGCAUUAUGGGAUAACGAUUGUGUAAAGAAACAGCUUCUUCAUUCCUGCACUGGUUGCCACCAACAUUCUCUUGGUUGAUGAGAUCAUGCGAGCUGGAAUCUUCUCUGAAAGGUUGAAUUGAAGCUUCCUCUGUAUCUGAGUCUUGAAGACUCUGCAAAGUGAUCCUGAAGAAUACAGCUGUGGAAUUUUUGUCCAAGCUUCAAAUGAGUUUCAAGGGAAUUUUCCCAUGUGAAAAAAGGAGAGAACACUGGCAUCUGUUGAAAUUCGGAAGUUCUGAAAUUAUAAUCACAGUAUUUUUUAAAAAUUGCACUGAAGUGUACACAGAUAAAGCAGGUCUUUCACCCAGUGAACAGGAUGUUUUGCUUUAGCAGCAGUGACAUAAAAUUCCAUGUUAAAUAAGCAUAUAUUACCUACCUUAUUAAAUAUUCCUUGAAAAAGCAGAUUUUAAUGGUUUAAUUUUAUGUGGACAUAUGUUAAAUUAUUCAGCAGUACCCUAUUGUUAAGCAUCUGGUUUUAAAAUUUUUAUGCUAAUAUAAAUAACGCUUAGUAAUUUAAAAUUUUGGAAGCAUCCCGUUAGUGUAAAUUUCUGAGUAAAUUUAUUGAUCAGUUGGACUUUUCACGCUUUUGAAAUAGCUUUGCUAAAAUGCUCCCCCUACAAAGUUGUAGGAAAUGGGAAGAGGAGUAAACUAGAGGCAAGGGAGUUGAGAGAGCUGGAAGGCAUGGUGGCUAAGGGCUACGGUUAUCAGGUGAAAUUUGAGAUUUGUAGGCUGACUAUAUUUUCAAGCUUCUGAACUUUUGCUUAUGCAAAAUAUUCAUCCCAAAGCCUCUAGCGUCAUAGUUUCCUCACCCAAAUUACUAUGUUUCCACAAGAUUUAUAUAGUUGGUCUAUCUCUGCGGUCCUUGAAAGUGAAGUUGGUGUUACUAGGCUGUGGGUUUUGGGGGCUCAGCAGUGACCUGGAGUGUGCAAAUAAAUGUUAAGUUGAAACCU